GCGUCGGUAGUUCAGUGGUAGAAUACUCGCCUGCCACGCGGGUGACCCGUGUUCGAUUCCCGGCCGACGCA
rnacentral:tRNA from 1 species